UUUCUACCACCUUUAGGGCCUUGAAGGCAUCAUGGGAGAGCAGGGCAAGCAGGGGAAAGACGGACUUAAGGGAGAUCGAGGGCCAAUCGGUGUUCAAGGAGUGUCUGGACCCCGAGGCGACAAGGGUCGGGAAGGUCGAGAAGGAUUUUCUGGAUUCCCAGGUCCCAUUGGAGAGAUGGGAAAAUCUGGAGAGGGAGGACGUGAAGGAGAGCCUGG